UCGGACUGUAGGCUGCAACUCGCCUACACGAAGCUGGAAUCGCUAGUAAUCGCGGAUCAGCACGCCGCGGUGAAUACGUUCCCGGGCCUUGUACACACCGCCCGUCACACCAUGGGAGCUGGAAAUGCCCGAAGUCGGUGACCCAACCGCAAGGAGGGAGCCGCCGAAGGCAGGUCCGGUAACUGGGGUGAAGUCGUAACAAGGUAGC
rnacentral:rRNA from 1 species